UCUUCCUUUCUAUCAUAGCCUGAUGUAGUUUUUCAGGUUCCUUUGGGUCCCCUUGGCUGAGAGUGGAGUCCAUUCGGUCAGCUGGGGGAAUUUAGACUUUUACUUUUGGUUUACAGGUGAAUAACAACAUCAAGAAGAAAAUGGAAGCUAUCAGAAAAGCCUCUACCAUCCCCACCACAUCUACCUGUCUACCUGUGUGUGUUCCUAAACUCCAGCUUCUCUCAUGAAAGAACUCUCCAUGCAUCUGGCUUAAGGUCAUCCCAUCCCUGAUCUCCACUUAAGAAUUAAGCUGGAGGACUUUAUCCUUAGCAAACCAAUGCAGGAACAGAAAACCAAAUGCUGCGUGUUCUCACAAAUGAAUUGGAUCUAAUGAUGAGAACACAUGGACACAAAGGCCUGUGGAUGUCUAGAGGAGACACUGUCAUUAUUUCCAAGGCAAAAGCAGAAAAAGGAGGUUGAUGCUCAGGAAGAGGUUCAUGGCUGGAGGGAGCUUGCCUUGAGACUCAAAUGAGAUUUUGAACUUUAAACGAUCGAGUUGUUGCUGAAACAGGUAAGACUUUGCAGCUAUAGGGUGAUUGUAUUUCGUACUUGAAAAAGACAUGAGUUUGAGGGGCCAGGGGCCGAAUGCUAUUGGUUUGACUGUGUCCCCUCUGAAACUUAUGUUGAAAUUGGAUUCCCAAUUUGGCAGUGUUUGGAGGUGGGCCUACUGCGAGGUGUUUGAAACAUGGGAGUACUGCCCUCAUGAAUAGAUUAAUGCUGUCUUAAAGGAGUAAGUUCUUGCUCUUGCAGAAAUUAAUUAGUUCCCAUGAGAGUGGGUUGUUAUAAGUGAGCCCAGCCUCUCAUGCGUGUCCCUUUGCACUCAUCUGCUCGCCUUACUGCUUGUCUGCUAUGUUGUGAUGUAGCACAUGGCCCUAACUAAAAGGUGAGCAGAUAACAGUAUCAUGCUCUUGGACUAGAAUUGUCACCAGAAUUGUGAAACAAAUGAAUCUAUUUUCUUUAUAAAUUACCCAGUCUCAGGGAUUCUGUUACGGCAACACAAAAUGGACAAAGACAGGAGGUAAUUAGCAUUAGAUAAGAUCCUCAGGGUAGGAACCUCAUGAGAUUGGCAGCUUUAUAAGAAGAGGAAGAGAGACCUGAGCUGGAACAUUUGCUCUGUCUUGCCACAUAAUGUCUCUUGCCAAGUCAUGACACAGCAGGAAGGCCCUCAUUAGAUACCUGUGCCAUGCUCUUGGACUUCCCAGCUUCCAGAAGAGUGAGCUAACUAAAUCUCCAUUCUUUAUAAAAUUACCCAUUCUGCAGAAUUGAAAUAUCGCAACAGACAAUAUUUUAAGACAAUUACAUCUUCAGACAAUUAAGGCAUAAUUAAAACAAUAGAAAUGUUGAACUUACAGAAUGCAGGUGGUGGGAUUAUUGAGAAGGUGCUGGUCAAAAGACAUAAAAUUUCAGCUGGAUAAACCUAGAGUUUACAAGGGUAUUGGGAAAUGGAUUUUAAAAAAAUACUUCUGGGAGAGUAAUGUUGCAGGCUUUCAAAAAAGCAGUUUGCGUUAAUUAAGGUUUUUAAUUCUGUAUACUUCUAGGGAUUUAUUCUAAGGGAAUUCAUAUGAUUCACAUACAGAUUCCAAUAUACUAAUCUCAGCAUUAUGUAUACUAAUGCAAAUUUGAAAGCAAUGAACAUUGAUUUAAUAAACUGUCACAUUCAUAUAAUACCAUGUAGGUAUUAACAUAGUAAGAAAAAAAGUAUUCUAAUAUGAAAAGCUAUAUUCAUGACAAAUUAUUAAUUUAAAAUCAAGUUAAAUGGUUUAUUUAUAAUAAUCCUUUCUUUCUCAUAUCUCUUUAUAUGCAUGUAGACAGGAUACCAAAAUGUUAGCAGUGAUAUUCUCUGGGUAGUGGGAUUAUCAAUUAUAAAUUUUCUUUUUGUAUUAUUUGUAUUUUCUAAAUUUCAUAAAAUAGGUAUUAUUUUAUAAUAAAGUUUUCUAAAAUUGCAUUGCAUAUAUCAUGUAGCUUACCCUUCUUUUUUCUUUUAAUUUCCAAUUUAUGCAUUUUCUAAUCACAAGCAAGGUCAAGAAAUUGAGAGAGAAGAGUUGGCUGAAGAAUGAGAUUCCCAAGGAAGAUCAAUAGUGAAUAAUGAUAGAAAAGUAGAAGAAAGAGUCUAAACAAAGUUAGGGUAGACAGUGAAUAUCGAUUGCUAAGUGGGAAAUCAUUGUGCUCAAGGAAAAUGGGUAUAUUAGGAGAGCCAGAGAAGGAUGAUUGAGAGUACUGAGUUCUACAUUGUAAUGGUUUUUCACAUAUUUCCUAUGUUUGACUUUACAGAAAGCAGGCAGUAGAAUAUAGCAAAGUUUCUCCAGAUAAGAUCCUGUCAACACUCAGGUGUCAUUAGCCUUAAGCUGCAUGAAGAGUAAGGCCAGUCAUACCAUUACACUAUUGCAAGGUACACCAGUCUAUGAGGGGCAUCAAAACAGUGAGAAAGCAGUAAUAAUGCAGUUGGGGCUCUACAAAUAAUUCUAGUUGUAACAUGGAAACAUGUAAUCUAAUCCUCCCUCUGCCAAAGUGGAAAUGAUAAUGAUAUUUCUUAUUUAGUAUUAUGGUUUUGAUUUAAAAAUCCCUUUGUAGGCAGCAACUAUUUCACUAGUAAAUAAAUAUGAAGGAAACAUUUAAAUAUUGUCAAUUUGUAAUUAUGCCGCAUUAUUUUUCUGCCUAAGGGCCAUAGUAGGUUGUAGUUCAUUUGUGCAUCCAAUUACAAAUCAGAAAAAGGGAUUUAACAAGAUUCCAGUAAAAACCUCCCAUGCUCAUGGAUUGAAAGAGUCAAUAUAGUUAAAAUGGCCAUACUGCCCAAAGCAAUCUACAGAUUUACUGCUAUUCCUAUCAGGCUACUAACAUCAUUUUCUAUACAAUUAGAAAUAUUAUUCUAAAAUUAGUGUAGAACUUAAAAAGACCCUGGCUUGCCAAAGCCAUCCUAUUCAAAAAGAACAAAGCUGGAGACAUCACAUUAUCACAUUACCCAACUUCAAACUAUAUUAUAAGGCUACAGUAACUAAAACAGCAUGGUACUGAUACAAAAACAGACACAUAGACCAAUGGAACAGAAUAGAGAACCCAGGAAUAAAGCUGCACACCUAUAGACAUCUGAUCUUCAACCAAGUCAACAAAAAUAAGCAGUGAAGAAAAGACUCCCUAUUCAAUAAAUGAUGGCUACGAUAGCUGGCUAGCAAUAUACAGAAUAAACCUGGACCCCUACCUAUCACUGUAUGCAAAAAUUAACUCUAGAUGGGUUAAAGAUUAAAAUAUAAGACCUCAAACUAUAGUAACUCUGGAAAACAGCCUAAGCAAUACCACCCUGAACACAGGAACUGGCAAGGAUUUCAUGAUGAAUGAAAUCAUGUCCUUUGCAGCAACAUGGAGGCAGCUAGAGACCAUUAUCCUAAGUGAAUUAACACAGGAACAGAAAACCAAAUACCACAUGUUCUCGCUUAUAAGUGGGAGCUGAACACUGGGUACAUGUGGAUAUAAAGAUGCAACAAUAGGCACUGGGGAUUACUGGGAGGAAGAAGGGGAGAUUAAGUUUCAAAGCCAACUGUUGUGUAUGCUAUGUACUACGAUUAGUACCUGGGUGAAGGAAACAAUCACAUCCCAAACCUUAGCAUCAUGCAAUAUAUCCAUGUAACAAACCUACACAUGUACCCUCUGAAUCGAAAAUAAAAGUUGGAGUUAUUAAAAAAAAAAAAAAAAAA